rnacentral:rRNA from 1 species
GAGAGGUACUGCAUGGCCGUCGUCAGCUCGUGUUGUGAAAUGUUGGGUUAAGUCUCGCAACGAGCGCAACCCCUAUCGUCUGUUGCCAGCAUUAAGUUGGGCACUCUGACGAGACUGCCUGGGUUAACCAGGAGGAAGGUGGGGAUGACGUCAAGUCCUCAUGGCCCUUAUGUCUAGGGCUACACACGUAAUACAAUGGCGCGUACAAAGGGAAGCGAACUUGCAAGGGGGAGCAAAUCUCAAAAAGCGCGUCUCAGUCCGGAUUGGAGUCUGCAACUCGACUCCAUGAAGUUGGAAUCGCUAGUA